rnacentral:rRNA from 1 species
UACGGAGGGGGCAAGCGUUGUCCGGAUUUAUUGGGCGUAAAGAGCGUGUAGGCGGCCACACAGGUCUGCUGUGAAAACUCGAGGCUCAACCUCGAGCUGUCGGUGGAAACCGUGUGGCUAGAGUACGGAAGAGGAGAGUGGAAUUCCCGGUGUAGCGGUGAAAUGCGCAGAUAUCGGGAAGAACACCCGUGGCGAAGGCGGCUCUCUGGGACGGUACUGACGCUGAGACGCGAAAGCGUGGGGAGCGAACAGG